rnacentral:piRNA from 1 species
AAGGGGUACCUCGAAUGAAUGAAU